rnacentral:rRNA from 1 species
AUAUUAUACUUAUAAGUAUAAGAUGGAGAAAUCCAUUAAAAUUCUAAGUAAAUACUUGAUAAUGACAUAAUUUACUUAAAUGUCUUGACUAAAUCAUGUGCCAGCAGUCGCGGCAAUACAUGGAAGACUAGUGUUAUUCAUCUUAAUUAGGUUUAAAGGGUACCUAGACUGUCAAUUAAACCUAAUUUAUAAAGGUACUUUUUGACUAGAGUUUAAUAUGAGAGGGGUUAAUAGAACGAGUAGAGUAGAGAUAAAAUUCGUUGAUACACUCUGUAGACUGGUAAAGGCGAAGGCAACCUUCUAUGUAAAAACUGACGUUGAGGGACGAAGGCUACGAUUAACGAACAGGAUUAGAUACCCAAGUAAUGAGUGCAGUAAAUGAUGAAUGCCAUAUGUAAGAUUAAUUUUAUGUAUAAAUGAAAGUGUAAGCAUUCCACCUCAAGAGUAAUGUGGCAACGCCGGAACUGAAAUCAUUAGACCGUUUCUGAAAACAGUAGUGAAGUAUGUUGUUUAAUUUGAUAAUCCACGGAAAACCUUACCACAAUUUGAAUAAAAAUAUUCUAUAUAGAAUAUUUUUACAAGCGUUGCACGG